rnacentral:rRNA from 1 species
UACGUAGGGGGCUAGCGUUGUCCGGAAUUAUUGGGCGUAAAGAGCUCGUAGGCGGUGUGUCGCGUCGGCCGUGAAAACCUGCAGCUUAACUGUGGGCUUGCGGUCGAUACGGGCAUCACUGGAGUUCGGCAGGGGAGACUGGAAUUCCUGGUGUAGCGGUGAAAUGCGCAGAUAUCAGGAGGAACACCGGUGGCGAAGGCGGGUCUCUGGGCCGAUACUGACGCUGAGGAGCGAAAGCGUGGGGAGCGAACAGGA